UGGGGAAUAUUGGACAAUGGGCGAAAGCCUGAUCCAGCAACGCCGCGUGAGCGAUGAAGGCCUUCGGGUCGUAAAGCUCUGUCAGAUGGAACGAAAGAAGCUAACCUAAUACGUUAGCUGUUGACGGUACCAUCAAAGGAAGCACCGGCUAACUCUGUGCCAGCAGCCGCGGUAAUACAGAGGGUGCUAGCGUUGUUCGGAAUUACUGGGCGUAAAGCGCACGUAGGCGGAUUGUUAAGUCAGAGGUGAAAUCCCGGAGCUCAACUUCGGAACUGCCUUUGAUACUGGCAAUCUAGAGUCCGGAAGAGGUUAGUGGAAUUCCCAGUGUAGAGGUGAAAUUCGUAGAUAUUGGGAAGAACACCAGUGGCGAAGGCGGCUAACUGGUCCGGUACUGACGCUGAGGUGCGAAAGCGUGGGGAGCAAACAGGAUUAGAUACCCGCGUAGUCCCUGAGCGGGCUGGCAAGGCGCAU
rnacentral:rRNA from 1 species